GAGGAUAUAGCUCAGUGGUAGAGUGCAUGUUCAGCAGGCAGGAGUUCCUGGGUUCAAUCCCCAGCACCUCCA
rnacentral:tRNA from 1 species